GACGGGGCCGCACAGCGGAGGAACAUGUGGUUUAAUCGAUGAUACGCGAGGAACCUUACCCGGGCUUGAAAUGCAUCUGACCGGCCUUGAAAGACGGUUUUCCCUUCGGGGCAGAUGUGUAGGUGCUGCAUGGUUGUCGUCAGCUCGUGCCGUGAGGUGUCGGCUUAAGUGCCAUAACGAGCGCAACCCUCAUCAUUAGUUACCAUCAGGUAAGGCUGGGGACUCUAAUGAGACUGCCAUCGUAAGAUGUGAGGAAGGUGGGGAUGACGUCAAAUCAGCACGGCCCUUACGUCCGGGGCGACACACGUGUUACAAUGGGUGGUACAAAGGGCAGCUACCUGGCGACAGGAUGCUAAUCUCCAAAACCACUCUCAGUUCGGAUCGGAGUCUGCAACUCGACUCCGUGAAGCUGGAUUCGCUAGUAAUCGCGCAUCAGCCACGGCGCGGUGAAUACGUUCCCGGGCCUU
rnacentral:rRNA from 1 species